ACUCAAAUGAAUUGACGGGGGCCCGCACAAGCGGUGGAGUAUGUGGUUCAAUUCGAUGCUACGCGAAAAACCUUACCCAGGCUUGACAUCCCGUGCUACCCUGGGAAACCAGGGGUUCCCUUCGGGGACGCGGUGACAGGUGCUGCAUGGCUGUCGUCAGCUCGUGUUGUGAGAUGUUGGGUUAAGUCCCGCAACGAGCGCAACCCUCGCCACUAGUUACCAUCAUUCAGUUGGGCACUCUAGUGGGACCGCUGGGCUAUAAGCCAGAGGAAGGUGGGGAUGACGUCAAGUCCUCAUGGCCUUUAUGUCUGGGGCUACACACGUACUACAAUGGGAGGUACAAAUCGCAGCAAGCUCGCGAGAGCAAGCAAAUCGCAAAAAGCCUCCCUCAGUUCGGAUUGGAGUCUGCAACUCGACUCCAUGAAGUUGGAAUCGCUAGUAAUCGCGGAUCAGCAUGCCGCGGUGAAUACGUUCCCGGGCCUUGUACACACCGCCCGU
rnacentral:rRNA from 1 species